CUUUCUCUACUGUUUCUGAUGCCCAGGACUCUAGUUAAAAUUAAAAGGAGUUUUCUUUUGAAACUGACAGUCUGGCCACAGGAGCACACUUUAAUGAGGGUACAAUGCAAACCUGGCACUUUGGGGUUCUAUCUUCUUUCAUGGAAGCCUUCUCCACCCAGCCUCUAGCCCCCGCCACAUGAAACCUUGGAGAUCUGAAGCAUCCUCAUGGAUGGGAUAACAGAAGAGAUCAUUGUGAAUUCUUAGAGGACUACUGAGCCAUCCCUGCACAACUGAGAUGAAUAUGAUCACUCAUCAUUGCCAGCAGGGCUGUGUUCAUUCUGGUGCGCAGUUAAGAUAGGACACAACACUGAUCUGGAACCUCCUUAAGGGCCCCGGUUCUUCUGUCUGAAUGGAUAUCAGAUGAAAUCUUUGAGCAGUCCAAAGACAAUCUUAAGUGCAACACAAUUUGAGCAAGUUGAUUAUUUUCAUGGCACUGGCUGAUCUGCGUUUUAACAAGCCUCCAGUUUCUGGCACCCAGCGAGGGACAGUGGAGACACCCCAUUCACUCCAGGUUCUGCAGAUGAGAUCUGGGACAACUGACAAAAAGCUGGAGAAAGGUAAGAAUUCUUGCCAAAGUCAGCUCUACUGGAUCUUUAUCUGUGGCACCCCAUGGAAGAAGAAGUUUAAAAAAAUUUUUUUGUCCCCUACUUCCCAAAUUCUGAUGAUCAAGAGAAAAUCAUUUGUUUGAAUUGUGACUCCUAUGUAAAUGUGAUUUGGGGUACCCAUUCAUUAUUGAUCCUUUCCCUCCCAGGGACAGCUAUAACUUUCCUAUUUGUCUUGUGUCCUGAGAGCUUAGCUUGACUUUCUACCUGUCAGGGCAUGCAAAUUGUUGGCUUUGUAGUCCAUAAAAUUAAGCUGUAAAUAGCUAAAGUUAGACCAGCCAGGAUGUCAAUCAACUUCUGCUUUGCUUUGCUUUUCUGCAUUUUGGGGUACAUGGAGAAAGUCUGGAAGAUGCUGCCCUGUCUACAUAAGGACAUUACAAUCUUGUAACCUCAUCUGAAUCUUUGGCCCUAUAGUCUCUCAUAUUCUGAAGAUUCACCUGGUACCCCAACUGUUUGAAACUCAAAUACUCUGUUCUCUUGAAUCGAUGUUAACCAUGAGUAAGUUACUAGGCUACAGGCCUUACAAAACCAUAACGACAAAAAAGAAAUCAAUAUGAACAAUAAAUAAUCAUAGAAGGAAAAUUUAAAUUAAAUUAGAAAGUUAAUUCCUUUAUUAAUUUGCCUGGAAUAUUAGCUUGAGGAAAAAUGGACUUAAUGAAAGGAAUAUGAGGUGGAAGGAGCUCUGGAUAAAGCAGAUGAGGACUUCUGGGUAUUUUCAAGGCUUUAAAGGUCAAUUUUAUUCUAUUCCAUUUUGAAUUUAUAGAUUUUUUUCCAAAUGAAGAAACAUUUUAUAGCUCUUUACAUUUUUUAAACUGCG
rnacentral:lncRNA from 10 species